UACAGAGGUCUCAAGCGUUGUUCGGAUUCAUUGGGCGUAAAAGGGGUGCGUAGGCGGCGCGGUAAGUCGGGUGUGAAAUCUUGGAGCUUAACUCCGAAACUGCAUUCGAUACUGCCGUGCUUUGAGGGACUGGGAGAGGAGACUGGAAUUUACGGUGUAGCGGUGAAAUGCGUAGAUAUCGUAAGGGAAGACCAGUGGCGAAGGCGGGUCUCUGGACAGUUCCUGACGCUGGAGGCACGAAGGCCAGGGGAGCAAACGGG
rnacentral:rRNA from 1 species